CGUUAUUCGGAAUUAUUGGGCGUAAAGGGCGCGUAGGCGGCUUGGCAAGUGGAGGGUGAAAUCCCUCGGCUUAACCGAGGAACUGCCUUCCAGACUGCUUUGCUUGAGGCCGGGAGAGGCGAGUGGAAUUCCCAGUGUAGCGGUGAAAUGCGUAGAUAUUGGGAGGAACACCAGUGGCGAAGGCGGCUCGCUGGACCGGUUCUGACGCUGAGGCGCGAAAGCGUGGGGAGCAAACGGG
rnacentral:rRNA from 1 species